rnacentral:rRNA from 1 species
UUUGCUGUGGUAUUUUGACUAUGCGAAGGUAUUGAAAUAAGGCUUUAAAUGAGUGCUAAGAGAAUGGUUUAACAAUUAUAAGCUUUCUUUAAUUAAAAAAUUAAAUUUAAUUUUUUUGUGAAGAAGCAAAAAUUUAAAUUAGGGACAAGAAGACCCUAUGAAUUUUAUAUUAAAUAAUAUAAUUUAAUUAAAUUAUAUUAUUUGAAUUAAUUGGGGUGAUUUAAAAAGAAUAUAUAUCUUUUUAAAAAGUUAAUUUGUUCCGUUUUUAACGAUUUUAUGAAAAAAAUACUCUAGGGAUAACAGCGUAAUAAUUUUGGAUAGUUCAUAUAGAUAAAAUAGUUUGCGACCUCGAUGUUGGAUUAGGAUUCUUUUUUAAUGAAGAAAUUAAAAAGAAGAAGUUUGUUCAACUUUUAAAUUCCUACAUGAUCUGAGUUCAGACCGGA